GGGCGGGUGGCGGAAUAGGUAUACGCGCAGGACUUAAAAUCCUGUGACCGUAAGGUCAUGAGGGUUCAAUUCCCUCCCCGCCCA
rnacentral:tRNA from 1 species